CCUGACGCAGCGACGCCGCGUGAGUGAAGAAGUAUUUCGGUAUGUAAAGCUCUAUCAGCAGGGAAGAAAAUGACGGUACCUGACUAAGAAGCCCCGGCUAACUACGUGCCAGCAGCCGCGGUAAUACGUAGGGGGCAAGCGUUAUCCGGAUUUACUGGGUGUAAAGGGAGCGCAGACGGCUUGGCAAGUCUGAAGUGAAAGCCCGGGGCUUAACUCCGGGACUGCUUUGGAAACUGUGAAGCUAGAGUGUCGGAGAGGUAAGUGGAAUUCCCAGUGUAGCGGUGAAAUGCGUAGAUAUUGGGAGGAACACCGGUGGCGAAGGCGGCUUACUGGACGAUAACUGACGUUGAGGCUCGAAGGCGUGGGGAGCAAACAGGAUUAGAUACCCUGGUAGUCCACGCGGUAAACGAUGAAUACUAGGUGUCGGGGGACAUAGUCUUUCGGUGCCGCCGCUAACGCAUUAAGUAUUCCACCUGGGGAGUACGUUCGCAAGAAUGAAACUCAAAGGAAUUGACGG
rnacentral:rRNA from 1 species